UACCGGCAGCCCGAGUGAUGGCCGAUUUUAUUGGGCCUAAAGCGUCCGUAGCUGGCCACGCAAGUCCGUUGGGAAAUCCGCGCGCUUAACGCGCGGGCGUCCAGCGGAAACUGUAUGGCUUGGGACCGGAAGACCCAAGGAGUACGUCCGGGGUAGGAGUGAAAUCCUGUAAUCCUGGACGGACUACCGAUGGCGAAAGCACCUUGGGAGGACGGAUCCGACAGUGAGGGACGAAAGCUAGGGUCUCGAACCGG
rnacentral:rRNA from 1 species